rnacentral:rRNA from 1 species
GACGAACGCUGGCGGCGUGCUUAACACAUGCAAGUCGAACGGAAAGGCCCUGCUUGCAGGGUACUCGAGUGGCGAACGGGUGAGUAACACGUGGGUGAUCUGCCCUGCACUUCGGGAUAAGCUUGGGAAACUGGGUCUAAUACCGGAUAGGAACCAUCUUUAGUGUGGUGGUUGGAAAGUUUUUUCGGUGUAGGAUGAGCGCGCGGCCUAUCAGCUUGUUGGUGGGGUAAUGGCCUACCAAGGCGGCGACGGGUCGCCGGCCUGAGAGGGUGUACGGCCACAUGGCGACUGGGAUACGGCCCAGACUCCUGCGGGAGGCAGCAGGGGGGAAUAUUGCACAAUGGGCGCAAGCCUGAUGCAGCGACGACGCGUGGGGGAUGAAGGCCGUAGGGUUGUAAACUCCUUUCGCUAGGGACGAAGCUUUGUUGUGACGGUACCUAGAGAAGAAGCACCGGCUAACUACGUG